rnacentral:misc_RNA from 1 species
UGGUUCUGGCAUCGAUGAAGAACGCAGCGAAAUGCGAUAAGUAGUGUGAAUUGCAGAAUUCAGUGAAUCAUCGAAUCUUUGAACGCACAUUGCGCCCCUCGGUAUUCCGUGGGGCAUGCCUGUUCGAGCGUCAUUUAAACCCUCAAGCACAGCUUGGUGUUGGGUGCUUGUCCCGCCUCCGCGCGGCGACUCACCUCAAAGUCAUUGGCAGCCCGCAUCCGCCGGCCGUGAGCGCAGCACAGUCGCGCCCUAGGUCCCGGCAGGUCGGCUCUCCAGAAGCACUUCUUCCACCAUUGACCUCGGAUCAGGUAGGGAUACCCGCUGA